UGAAAAACCACCUGUCUACCCAAAA
rnacentral:piRNA from 1 species